rnacentral:rRNA from 1 species
GCCCUGCCGUAAACUUUGAUAUUUCAAUACAACAAAUAUCCGCCCGGGGACUACGAGCGCCAGCUUAAAACCCAAAGGACUUGGCGGUGCUUCAGACCCCCCUAGAGGAGCCUGUUCUAGAACCGAUAACCCCCGUUCAACCUCACUACUCCUUGCUCUUCCCGCCUAUAUACCGCCGUCGCCAGCUUACCCUGUGAAGGCAUCGCAGUAAGCGAGAUGGGCAUUGCCCAAAACGUCAGGUCGAGGUGUAGCGUACGAAGUAGGAAGAAAUGGGCUACAUUAUCUGAAGCAGAUUAUUCACGGAAGGUUGUCUGAAAUGGCAGCCCAAAGGUGGAUUUAGCAGUAAGGGAAGAAUAGAGCGCUCCCCUGAAGCCGGCUCUGAAGCGCGCACACACCGCCCGUCACUCUCCCCGACAACACCAACAUCUAGUAUUUAACACGACAACAAUCACAAAGGGGAGGCAAGUCGUAACAUGGUAAGUGUACCGGAAGGUGCACUUGGAAUAAC